UACGUAGGUGGCGAGCGUUAUCCGGAAUUAUUGGGCGUAAAGAGCGCGCAGGUGGUUGAUUAAGUCUGAUGUGAAAGCCCACGGCUUAACCGUGGAGGGUCAUUGGAAACUGGUCAACGUGAGUGCGGAAGAGGUAAGUGGAAUUCCCAGUGUAGCGGUGAAAUGCGUAGAGAUUGGGAGGAACACCAGUGGCGAAGGCGACUUACUGGGCCAUAACUGACGUUGAUGCGCGAAAGCGUGGGGAGCAAACAGGAUUAGAUACCCUGGUAGU
rnacentral:rRNA from 1 species